CUACGGGUCGCUGCAGUGAGGAAUAUUGCACAAUGGGGGGAACCCUGAUGCAGCAACGCCGCGUGGAGGAUGACGCAUUUCGGUGUGUAAACUCCUUUUAUAUGCCAAGAAAAUGACGGUAGCAUAUGAAUAAGCACCGGCUAACUCCGUGCCAGCAGCCGCGGUAAUACGGAGGGUGCAAGCGUUACUCGGAAUCACUGGGCGUAAAGGACGCGUAGGCGGGGUGGAAAGUCAGGUGUGAAAUCCUACAGCUUAACUGUAGAACUGCACUUGAAACUUCUAAUCUAGAGUAUGGGAGGGGGAGAUGGAAUUAGUGGUGUAGGGGUAAAAUCCGUAGAUAUCACUAGGAAUACCUAAAGCGAAGGCGAUCUCCUGGAACAUUACUGACGCUAAGGCGUGAAAGCGUGGGGAGCAAACAGGAUUAGAUACCCCAGUAGUC
rnacentral:rRNA from 1 species